UACGUAGGUGGCGAGCGUUGUCCGGAAUCACUGGGCGUAAAGGGCGCGUAGGCGGCAAUACAAGUCGCAUGUGAAAGACCAGGGCUCAACCUUGGGAGGUCAUGCGAAACUGUAUAGCUUGAGUGCAGUAGAGGUAAGCGGAAUUCCUGGUGUAGCGGUAAAAUGCGUAGAGAUCAGGAGGAACACCGGUGGCGAAGGCGGCUUACUGGGCUGCAACUGACGCUGAGGCGCGAAAGCGUGGGGAGCAAACAGG
rnacentral:rRNA from 1 species